GUAACUAAAAGAAGGUAUAUUCGGAAAACAAAUUGAAACGUUACUUUCCCCUUUCCUUCUUCACUGCUACCCAGUUUGCCAAAUGCCAACAGCGUCUACACUCUACACUCUCUCUCUCUCUCUCGCUCGCUAACCACUCUCAUGGAGGUCACCGAUCAUGUUGAGGUCAUGCAGGAAGAGAAUACGACAAAGCCUGGCUUUGUAUCAAGGAGUCUGUCCUAUUUAUAUGCAAGUAGUGGAUGAAAUACAGUAAGCAUAUCACGAAGCAAGGAAUGGUUAAAGAAGGAGAAGAAGAAGAAGCCCUUGUACGAAGUGGAAGGCUCAGUGCAAUCCCUCUUCUGAUUACACAAUCGUGUCACAAGCACUUAUUUUCCGAUUCAGAAUCUGAUUUCAACUCCUCAGUCUAUGAUUACUCCAGAUGCAGAUGGAUGUGAUAUAAUGUUGCUGCCUUGUCCUUAUUUGGCAUCUGUAUCUGGUUGGUUAAACUGGCAACCAGGAGGUUGUCAAAGUGCAACAAUUUGCUUGGCAACCAUUUCUCUGAUGUGGGUCACUGCCCAAUCCCCAUCACUUUGCUUUGAUUAAGGUGGGUUCUUCUAGCAGAUAUUUUACCAGAGCGACGAAGGCGUGGCUCCUUAGAAAAGUUUUGGGUCUUGUUCGCUCCAUCAGCGACUUAUAAGCUAUUUGCGGGUUGGAGAAAGAUAUAAGUGUGUUCCUACCUCCUUAGCGUCUUGGUGGAGUUUCAGGGUGCCUAUUUCCGUGGUUUUUGUGGGAGUUUAUUUUUGUGCAGCUUUGAAUGCUCUUAUUUGGGUGGUUUAGCCCUGCAGGGUUUUCUUUUUUUAGUUCUUGGCGUUAUUUCAUGGUUCCUGAUUUUGUAUAGCUCUUUUGUGAGGCCCUAUGUUGAUAUUGUUUUGUUGGUGUAAUAUUCGUUUUUGCUCCUUCCUUGGAGUGUUGUCCUUAGGACUUUUGUGGGUAAACCUUUGACAAGUCAUCAAGUGAUUAUUUUAAUUUGAUUAUAGUAAUUUGAGAU